CUUAGAAGGAGUAUCAGCAUGUUUCUUCUUGAUCUGAUGAGCUUUCACUACAGCAGCUUUGUGCUUUGGAUCAGAGAGGGUAAGUCAUAAUCCCCACCACCACCAUCUACCAGCAGAAGUGUAGAAGUGCAUAAUCAUAUCAGCAUCCUGACUUGAAGCAGCAAAGAAAAGGAAAUACUUUAAAAAGUAGUUCUGUUUCUUUGUAUUACCGUGUAAUUAGUUCAGAACUAACAAAACACAUCACAAAAGGAAAAAUCCAUGAAAAUGGAAAAUACAAAAAUCUAUGAAGUGCAGUUUUAACUGUCACACACAAUGUUGUACGAAUAGCACUCCUCUGAUUACCGCUAAAUGCAGUUCAAAAAUACUCAGAUGCAGUUGUCCAGUGAUGAGGUAGCUGGCAAAUAUUAGUAGAAGCUUGAUGCAUAACAACAUCUUUUUGUUGUGUUUUUGUUUUUUUUUUUCCAUUUGGGGGGGGGCUGUUGUUGUUCGUACCUAUUGUAAAAUACCAACGAGGGGAAAUAAAAGUAUGAUACUUGCUGAUAAAUGGCUUCUAGUUUGAGAAGUAGAAUAGAAUAUCCUUGGCAGAAAUGAGUCAAAGGUUUGAACAUUGUACUAAACUAAUUUUGUAUAGGUAAAGUCGUCAGAAAGGUGAUACCUUAAAUUCCAAAUGUCUUUAUUUUACUACUACACUUCCAUUUUACUAUUUCAUUCACUACAUUUUACUUCAUGUAUUGAAUUUCUUUACUACUUCAUUUACUAUAUUUUACUAUGUAUUUCAUUUUGCUACUACAAUUACUACUAUUCCACUACUAUUGGUACACUGGGCAAGCUUUUUUAUGUUUCUGUAGACCAUGUUAUGGAUCUAAUAAGAGAAACUGAAUAAGCAGAGGACUGCUUUUUCCUAGUAAUUUGUACAAUAAAAGCAAAAUGCAUUUCUAUUUUAAAUAAUA